UGGGGAAUAUUGGACAAUGGGCGCAAGCCUGAUCCAGCCAUGCCGCGUGUGUGAAGAAGGCCUUCGGGUUGUAAAGCACUUUAAGUGGGGAGAAAGGCCCGUUGGUUAAUAGCCAGCGGGAUUGAUGUUACCCACAGAAUAAGCACCGGCUAACUCCGUGCCAGUAGCCGCGGUAAUACGGAGGGUGCGAGCGUUAAUCGGAAUUACUGGGCGUAAAGCGCGCGUAGGCGGUUUGUUAAGUCAGCUGUGAAAGCCCCGGGCUCAACCUGGGAACUGCAGUUGAUACUGGCCGACUAGAGUACGAGAGAGGGAGGUAGAAUUCCAUGUGUAGCGGUGAAAUGCGUAGAUAUAUGGAGGAAUACCAGUGGCGAAGGCGGCCUCCUGGCUCGAUACUGACGCUGAGGUGCGAAAGCGUGGGGAUCAAACAGGAUUAGAUACCCUGGUAGUCCACGCCGUAAACGAUGUCUACUAGCCGUUGGGAGACUUGAUUUCUUAGUGG
rnacentral:rRNA from 1 species